GACUGCUCUGAUGGCCUGAGUGGUUAAAGCAUCUGUCUCAAAUGCAGGAGGUCAUGGGUUCAAACCCCAGCCAUGUCU